rnacentral:rRNA from 1 species
UACGGAGGAUCCGAGCGUUAUCCGGAUUUAUUGGGUUUAAAGGGUGCGCAGGCGGGGGAUUAAGUCGGCGGUGAAAUUUUGCAGCUCAACUAUAAAAGUGCCUUCGAAACUGGUUUCCUUGAGUGUAGAUGAAGUAGGCGGAAUUUGUGGUGUAGCGGUGAAAUGCAUAGAUAUCACGAGGAACUCCGAUUGCGGAGGCAGCUUACUAAACUACUACUGACGCUCAGGCACGAAGGCGUGGGGAUCAAACAGGAUUAGAUACCCUGGUAGUCCCU